ensembl:lncRNA
CCCAGCCUGCUGGAGGGGUGGUGGAAUGGGCCACAGAGCAAGACAAAACAGCCACUUGGCAUGGCGUUGCGGAUGUCUGCAACUUCUGCCAGGACGUUGACCGGAGGCCAGGAACUUGGGUGGAGACAGGAGCCAGAAGGCUGGACUAUGGCAAGAGCACGCUGGGUGAAUGUGUGGAGUUCAGGGACUCAUAGCAAAGCCUCUUAUUCUAGCAUGACACUGACACUGCUGUGGCUGUAUAUAGGUGCUUUUCUCCUUUUUUUAAUUCAAAUAUUCUUGUGCCCAUGAACAUGUACUACACACUGAAUUCCACCCAUCCCCUACUCCCCUUCUUGG